UUGAAUAUUUUCAACUCAAGCGAGAAAUUGUUGUCCUGCUAUCUUGCUGGCAGACCUGACAAACCGUGAAUUCAUAUGUUUAACAAAUCUGCAUCAUGUUGUAGUUAUUUCGGCAUCAGUUUGAUCCGUUUAUUGCUAUUUAAUCACAACAAAAUGUUUACUUUGGGUUGUAAUGUAGUAAUGGCAAGUUGUGUUUAUUCACGGUAUCGCGUUAAAAUCGCCACCUCGCGUUGUGUGUGAACACUUGCAAGGAAAGUGUCGCGAGGCAAAAAUUUGCGUUUGGUCUGAAAGCACAGUUAGGCGCAAUGUGAGCGCAGACCAACGGGGGAGGGGGGACAAGAAAACAAGCCAACCGGGCCUAGUGCCAGGAUCUGGGGAUCCCCUGGUGUACGACUGCAAGCCUCAGAGAUGUGUGUGGGAAUUUUGCGCUCCCAGCGGGAGGAAUACCAUGCAUCACUUGAUGAGACACAACAUUUGUCACAUAAGAGGUCCUGCAGUGUUUGGAAGCAGAGUGAGGAGUCAUUAAAGACACAGCACACACCCACUGCGAGGAACAUGGACAGUUUGGAGUUCUGGUGGGCCUCAUCAGGAUUUCUGCUCCCUGCCUUUCUAAUGCUGCAAGUUUAAAGAGGAUGACGCUGAAUCUCAAGACUAAAUCCCAUCUCCCUGGUGGUGCAAACCCCAGGCAAAGUUUUGUUUACGCUGUGCUUUAUCAGUGAUCUGGGAAGCAUUGUAAAUCCUUUGCAUCUCCCCUUUCAUCUCCAUACAGCACCUUGAUCCUCACUGCGUCAUUAGUGCUGCGGCAAUAAUGAGAGAGUGGGGUGAAGAAUUGCAACCUUCUGGUUGCAACGCUUUGGUGUGUGUGUCUGUGUGUCUGUGGAAGGGGGAGGGAGGCACUACUCAUUAUAGAAAGACUUUAUGUAAAUCCAAAAGCCUCUGUUGUUGUUAAUCUUGGUGAGGAAGUGAUUCUCAACAUUUUAUUGUGCAGCACACAGCUUUCAAAGUGAAAUAAGAUGAUGUUGAUUAUGGCUGAUAGUGGGGAGCAAACAGCCAGGUCUGAAUUAUUCUGAAGCAUCUAAUCAGUAACUUCAUUUUGUUUUAUCGCACAAAGCACUCUUGUAGGGUAGCAAAACAAAUCAAUAUAUUGUUUUGUUGAUGAAUACCUCCCAUUUUCAAAUAUUUUGUAGCAGUUGGUGUCACAGUUUACAGUUACCUCUCUGGACACAUUAAAAAUUCUCUAAAGCCUGAAAUGAUUUUGUUUAGGGAAUGUCAGUUUGAUUUUUGCAACUUGUUCCUUAUGAUUAUAUAUUAUAUUAUUAUUACUUAUCACUACUCACGUUGAGUUUCCCCAAACAUUAAAGAUGGUCUACAGUUCAUGCCACUUGAGAGGAUUUUCCACCCUGUCAAGAAACACUCAGUAUUUGCCACUUUUGACAUGAAAAUACGCAUUUUAUAGAUGCAUUACUAACAAUGUGACUUCAGUAUACAAAUGUCAGUAUUGCAUUGAAAAGCCAUCAGUCAAACUCUUCUGAUCUUGGACAAUCAUAUAGUUUACUUUUGGUUGUGUUGAAUAUCUUUACAAGCCGUGACACCACAUUCAAAUGUCAAUAUGUCAGAUCUCAUUUGGUUUGCAAGUGUUGUGUUACAUUGCUGGACUGCCUUCACAUUGUUUGAUGUCUUAUCAUUAUUCCAGACCCUCAUUGCUGCUGGCAGACACAGCCCCACUCUUAAUUGUCUAAAUUAACAUGUCCUUAUGCUAAUUGAAUGGGGUUUUAAUAGCUCUCAGCAGAGUGAAAGAGAAAAGCUAUAUGAAUGCCCCCAUUGCCCACCCACAUCGAAGGUUUUCUACUGAUGUAUUAAUGGCAUCUGUGGCCGUCCAAUUAGGACACAAAGCCAACAAACAGUCACUAAACAGCCAGAGUAAAGCCAAAAGAGUGAUAUGUUUUUAUGAUUUUAUAUAAAUGUAAAACAUAUGCACCUAAAUUGAAAUACAAUGAUCAAUAACCGGU